UAAUGUAAACAUGGCGUGAACACCCCUGGUACCCACCAAUCUGACCAGACACCCUGUAAUUAAAGACUGUAAAAAUAUCGCAAUAAACGACAUCGCUUUCGAGUCAACGCGGAAAUCAGGCCAGGCCCCAAGCCAGCUAUUGAAAUUCAUAACAAAUACAAAAUCAAACACGCCAAACAUCCCCUUCCAUUCAGUUUCGCUUUGUUAUCGCUCCAGUUGAAGAAAAGUCCUUUCUAUCUAGGGUUUGGGUUUGACAAUCAUUUCUUUGAAGAUGUUGGAGGUGGUGUUGAACGAUCGUUUGGGAAAGAAAGUGAGAGUGAAGUGCAACGACGACGACACGAUCGGCGACCUCAAGAAGCUCGUGGCGGCACAGACCGGCACCCGAGCUGAGAAGAUCCGGAUCCAGAAGUGGUACAACAUCUAUAAAGACCAUAUUACCCUCAAGGAUUACGAGAUUCAUGAUGGCAUGGGCCUCGAGCUCUACUACAACUAGAAUAAACAUGAAUUCCAGUGCAGUAUUGCAAGGCAUUGUGGAAGAUGAAGCUGCCUCUUCUUUGCUAGUAAUUUCUUACUCUUUGCAACUAGCCUGAUGGUUUGUAAUUGAUGCACAUAUACUUAUAUGAAAUAUGUAAUGACUGCCAUGACUAGAUUUGGUUAUAAUAUGUUAACUUGCAGCGUGUUCUGUUUGGUACAAGUGUUCCAAUUGUCUGUGAAUUGGUUGUUUUAUAACCAGGACUCUUAGGGUUUCAAUAGGAUGAAAAACUGGUUGAUUGGA